GACGAACCGUGCGAACGUUGUUCGGAAUCACUGGGCUUAAAGGGCGCGUAGGCGGGUCUUCAAGUCAGGGGUGAAAGCCCCCAGCUCAACUGGGGAAGUGCCUUUGAUACUGGGGAUCUCGAGGGAGGUAGGGGCGUGCGGAACUUCCGGUGGAGCGGUGAAAUGCGUAGAUAUCGGAAGGAACACCGGUGGCGAAAGCGGCGCGCUGGAUCUCUUCUGACGCUGAGGCGCGAAAGCCAGGGGAGCAAACAGG
rnacentral:rRNA from 1 species